CCCCCGCCGCACGCCGCCUCCACUUCAGGACCGGCCGGCUGCGCUGCUCCCGGGCCCCCGUGCGGCUGGAGGGGCCCCAGCCGCCCCAGCCCACAGUUAGUCCCGGGAAGCGGGAGGAGACGGGGUCUGCAGGGGAGAGCUUCCUGAGAGUGGCGGAACCUGCCCCGAACGCCCCGGGAGAGAAGGGGAAGGAGGCAGAGUGAGGGGCGGGAGCGCGGAGGAAGUGAGCUGGGGUCCGACGCCAGCGCGGGCUCCGGACGCGGACUGGGCGGCCAGGCCCCCCGAGCCGGGCGUGACUCCCGACCGAGAGAGGACCGAGCGGACACAUGGCCUCUCCAUUCCUGUCCGCGGGGACCACCACGGGCGACAGCGGCGGAGAGCUGAGCUCGGGGGACGACUCCGGUGACGUGGAGUCCGUCCCGAGCCCCGAGAGCGGGGCGUCGCGGAGCCUGGCCGAGCUGUUUGAGGAGGCGGCCGCGCACCUGCAGAGCGUGGUUCACGUGGCCAGCAGGGAGCAGCUCCUGUACCUGUACGCCAGGUACAAGCAGGUCAAAGUUGGAAAUUGCAAUACUCCGAAACCAGGCUUCUUUGAUUUUGAAGGAAAGCAAAAAUGGGAAGCAUGGAAAGCACUUGGUGAUUCCAGCCCGAGCCAAGCAAUGCAGGAGUAUAUUGCAGCAGUUAAAAAAUUAGAUCCAGGUUGGAAUACUCAGUCACCAGAGAAGAAAGGAAAAGAAGCAAAUACUGGUUUUGGCGGACCAGUUGUUAGUUCUCUGUAUCAUGAAGAAAUCAUCAGGGAAGAAGACAAAAACAUAUUUGAUUACUGCAGAGAAAACAACAUUGACCAUAUAUCCAAAGUCAUCAAAUCAAAAAAUGUGGAUGUGAAUAUGAAAGAUGAAGAGGGCAGAGCUCUACUCCAUUGGGCAUGUGAUCGAGGACAUAAGGAACUAGUCACAGUCUUGCUACAAUACAGAGCUGAUAUUAACUCUCAGAUAACACACAGACUACCAUAGGAAUAAAAUCAGCAGUACAAAUGACAAUGAAGGUCAAACAGCUCUACAUUAUGCUGCUGCCUGUGAGUUUCUGGACAUCGUGGAGCUGCUGCUCCAGUCUGGCGCGGACCCCACUCUGCGAGACCAGGAUGGCUGCCUGCCGGAAGAGGUGACAGGUUGCAAAGCUGUGUCUCUGGUGUUGCAGCAGCACAUGGCUGGCAAGGCUUAAGCAGAGACUGGAAAGCUACAGUCUAACAGCAUAGGGCUUCAGUGAUGCAAGAAAACCAUACUUCUUUUACCACCCAUCUUUGGUGUACAUUGGCUAAUAAAAUCAGUUCUGAGGAACGGGGA